UCCCUCAGGCGGGUCCCGGGCAGCCGCGGCCCGGGCUGAAAACACCGGAAUUCUGUGGAAAACGCUACUUAAUAAUUUGUAAAUAUACGGAUAUAAAAAUGUUUAUCGAUCGUGUAGCGUAGCGGAAGGUAGGAGUGUUUUGAGGCUGGAGAAGAGGAGGCUCACGGGUGACCUUAUCUCUCUCUACAACUCCCAGGAGGUUGUAGCCAGGCAGCGAUCGGCCUUUUCCCCCCGGCAAGCACUGCCAGGCUGCGCUGGGGAGGUUCAGGUUGGACAGCUGGAAUUCCUCUCCAGAAAGGGUGAUUCGACAUUGGAAUGUGCUACCCGGGGAGGUGGUGGAGUCACCAUCCCUGGAGGUGUUCAAGGAAAGACUGGAGGUGGCACUCCCAUUGUCUGGUUCCCAUGGUGGUGUUCAGUCAUGGGCUGGACUCGAUGACCUCAGAGGUCUUUUCCAACCUGAUCCUGGGAGCCGUCUUGUACUUUGCAUUAAGCUCGAACCCUGGGGAUAUACAGUAACACAGAUGAGGAAGAGACAUUCUCCACCCCUUCACAGGGACACAACUGGCAAUGGAAGUGGCUAACUAUUUCAGUGUCUUGCCAGACUGCAUAAGAAAGUGGAGAGAUCAUGACAUAAAAAACAGAAGUCAAAGUGAGACCCGGUUGAGGACUCUAACAUCAACAUUUUAUCCUAAUCAGCUGAGAAGAACUUUCAGGAGAAACUCAUUUGAACACAACAUGAAGCAUGGUUUCUCUAA